rnacentral:rRNA from 1 species
GGCNCCNCCGGGNCAGAUANUGACCACUUCAGAUUGGCGAAAGUGUGGGGGAGACGAAACCAGNGAUAUAGAAUAACCCUGGUAGUGCCCGCCGUAAAACGAUGUCUACUUUGGAGGGUGUGGCCCUGAGCCCGUGGCUUUCGGAGCUAACGCGUUAAGUAGACCGCCUGGGGAGUNCGGUCGCAAGAUUAAAACUCAAAAUGAAUUGACGGGGGCCCGCACAAGCGGUGGAGCAUGUGGUUUAAUUCGAUGCAACGCGAAGAACCUUACCUACUCUUGACAUCUACAGAAGCCAGCGGAGACGCAGGUGUGCCUUCGGGAACUGUAAGACAGGUGCUGCAUGGCUGUCGUCAGCUCGUGUUGUGAAAUGUUGGGUUAAGUCCCGCAACGAGCGCAACCCUUAUCCUUGUUUGCCAGCACUUCGGGUGGGAACUCCAGGGAGACUGCCGGUGAUAAACCGGAGGAAGGUGGGGACGACGUCAAGUCAUCAUGGCCCUUACGAGUAGGGCUACACACGUGCUACAAUGGCGCAUACAGAGGGCGGCCAACUUGCGAAAGUGAGCGAAUCCCAAAAAGUGCGUCGUAGUCCGGAUUGGAGUCUGCAACUCGACUCCAUGAAGUCGGAAUCGCUAGUAAUCGUGGAUCAGAAUGCCACGGUGAAUACGUUCCCGGGCCUUGUACACACCGCCCGUCACACCAUGGGAGUGGGCUGCAAAAGAAGUGGGUAGUUUAACCUUCGGGAGGACGCUCACCACUUUGUGGUUCAUGACUGGGGUGAAGUCGUAACAAGGUAACCG